rnacentral:rRNA from 1 species
GGAAUUUUGCGCAAUGGGCGAAAGCCUGACGCAGCAACGCCGCGUGAGGGAUGACGGCCUUCGGGUUGUAAACCUCUUUUCUCAGGGAAGAUGAUGACGGUACCUGAGGAAUAAGCCACGGCUAACUACGUGCCAGCAGCCGCGGUAAGACAGAGGGUGCAAACGUUGUUCGGAAUUACUGGGCGUAAAGCGCGUGUAGGCGGCGGCGCAAGUCGGAUGUGAAAGCCCAUGGCUCAACCAUGGAAGUGCACCCGAAACUGCGUUGCUAGAGUCUCGGAGAGGAAGGUGGAAUGCUUGGUGUAGAGGUGAAAUUCGUAGAUAUCAAGCGGAACACCGGUGGCGAAGGCGGCCUUCUGGACGAGUACUGACGCUGAGACGCGAAAGCGUGGGUAGCAAAC